rnacentral:rRNA from 1 species
UACAGAGGUCUCAAGCGUUGUUCGGAUUCAUUGGGCGUAAAGGGCGCGUAGGCGGCGUGGUAAGUCACUUGUGAAAUCUCCGAGCUUAACUCGGAACGGUCAAGUGAUACUGCUGUGCUAGAGUGCAGAAGGGGCAAUCGGAAUUCUUGGUGUAGCGGUGAAAUGCGUAGAUAUCAAGAGGAGCACCUGAGGUGAAGACGGGUUGCUGGGCUGACACUGACGCUGAGGCGCGAAAGCUAGGGGAGCAAACAGG